UGGGGAAUUUUGGACAAUGGGGGGAAACCCUGAUCCAGCCAUGCCGCGUGCGGGAUGAAGGCCUUCGGGUUGUAAACCGCUUUUGUCAGGGACGAAAAGGGGCCUGUGAACAACGGGUUCCGCUGACGGUAUCUGAAGAAUAAGCACCGGCUAACUACGUGCCAGCAGCCGCGGUAAUACGUAGGGUGCGAGCGUUAAUCGGAAUUACUGGGCGUAAAGGGUGCGCAGGCGGCUGCGCAAGACAGAUGUGAAAUCCCCGGGCUUAACCUGGGAACUGCAUUUGUGACUGCACAGCUAGAGUUUUGUCAGAGGAGGGUGGAAUUCCGCGUGUAGCAGUGAAAUGCGUAGAUAUGCGGAAGAACACCAAUGGCGAAGGCAGCCCUCUGGGACAUGACUGACGCUCAUGCACGAAAGCGUGGGGAGCAAACGGGAUUAGAUACCCUGGUAGU
rnacentral:rRNA from 1 species